ensembl:lncRNA
GGAGACGGCCUGGAGGUGGACUCCCGCAGAGUUCGAAGGGGCGGAGCUGUUCACUACGGAAAGACCUGAGGCCCAAGCGCGGCCAGGCGGGAAAGGCCUGGAGCUGGGUCUACAGGACAGGGCACUCCUCCAGUCCCGGCUUUGCCACGGGGGUGUCGUGCCAAUCUACUCUCUUUCCUAACUUCCCUGGCCUUCAGCUCCAAAACGAACAAGAGAUCCUACAGUAAGAAGCCCAGCCAGGCUCCAGCGCUGUGUCCUUAGCAGCCUCUUUGGACGUGUCCACUGUCAGAGCCAUCUUAUAGCUGCUAAGAGACGACUUGAGGGAGCUGCAGACACUGAAACUUGUGCUUAAUGUGUUCGUGAAAAUUCAUCAAGCUGGGUGACUUGUACUUUUUUGUUUUAAA